GCUUUUUUGUCUCCCUAGAUGUCACCAUCCUUGAAAAUACUCUAUCCUUUCCCUCUUUUAUUUAUGGGUGUCAAGGGGAGGAAGAUUAUCUACCUAUUUAUAUUUUAACCCAUUUUAUUAGUUUUAUUAGUUCACCAGAUAUUCCUGCAGUAGCUCCAACACCUACUCAACCACCUAUUGUCCAUGUCUAGUCUCGACGACUGGAGAGUCAUGACUCAUGUCCUCUACCAACCUCUUUGUUGUUGGAUACAAUAUCCAAUGAUCAUGAUCCUAGUUUUGAUCUUCCUAUUUCUCCUUGAAAAGGUAAACAUCAGUGUACUUAUCCUAUUUCCUCCUUUAUUUCUUAUUAUCAACUAUCUUCUUCUUUUAGCUCCUUUAUUGCAUUAUAGAUUUUGUUUUAAAUCUAAAACUGUUAAUGAAG
rnacentral:misc_RNA from 1 species